rnacentral:rRNA from 1 species
UACGUAGGGUGCGAGCGUUAAUCGGAAUUACUGGGCGUAAAGCGUGCGCAGGCGGUUAUAUAAGACAAGGGUGAAAUCCCCGGGCUUAACCUGGGAAUUGCAUUUGUGACUGUAUAGCUGGAGUGCGGCAGAGGGGGAUGGAAUUCCGCGUGUAGCAGUGAAAUGCGUAGAUAUGCGGAGGAACACCGAUGGCGAAGGCAAUCCCCUGGGCCUGCACUGACGCUCAUGCACGAAAGCGUGGGGAGCAAACAGG